rnacentral:rRNA from 1 species
UACGGGGGGAGCAAGCGUUGUUCGGAUUUACUGGGCGUAAAGGGCGCGUAGGCGGCCACCGCAAGUCGACUGUGAAAUCUCCGGGCUUAACCCGGAAAGGUCAGCCGAUACUGCGGGGCUAGAGUGCAGAAGGGGCAACUGGAAUUCUCGGUGUAGCGGUGAAAUGCGUAGAGAUGUGGAGGAACACCGAUGGCGAAAGGCAGCCCCUGGGGUCAAGACUGACGCUCAUGCACGAAAAGCGUGGGGGAGCAAAACAAGG